rnacentral:rRNA from 1 species
AAGCCGAUAAUCCUUAAUUGAUCUGAGUAGGAUGAUCAAUCACACUAAGACUGAGAGAAGGCUUAGACUUUUUAAAAGGCAGCAGUGAGGAAUUUUGGACAAUGAGUGCAAACUUGAUCCAGCAAUAUAAAGUGAAUGAUAGAAAGCCAUUUUCGGUUGUAAAGUUCUUUUAUUAAAAAAUAUUAUGACUUAUUUAAUGAAAAAACCCGAGCAAAUUUCGUGCCAGCAGCUGCGGUGAUACGAGACGGGUUAGUGUUAUUCAGAAUUAUUGGGCGUAAAACGUGUCUAGACUACUAUUGUUGUAAAUAUUUAAAGCUUAAACUUGACAUUUUUAAGAGAUAUUUUAAACAAAUAGUUUGAGUACAGUGUAAGAUUAUAGAAUUUCAGGAGAAAAAAUAAAAUUUGUAGAUAUCUGAAGGAAUGCCAAAGGCGAAAGCAAUAAUCACUACUUUACUGACGUUGACACACGAAAGUAUAGGUAUCAAACAGGAUUAGAUACCCUGGUAGUCCACGCCGUAAACGAUGAGUGCUAGGUGUUGGGUCCUUUCCGGGACUCAGUGCCGCAGCUAACGCAUUAAGCACUCCGCCUGGGGAGUACGACCGCAAGGUUGAAACUCAAAGGAAUUGACGGGGAUUUAUAACAUUGGUGGACUAUGUGGUUUAAUUCGUCAAUACACGCAAAACCUUACCAAUUCUUGAAUAAUUAUAAAAUUAAAGCAAAAUGUUAAUUUUAAUAUAAUUACAGGUGCUGCAUGGUUGUCGUCAGUUCGUAUUGUGAAAUGUCUGGUUUAUUCCUGUAACGAGCGAAACCCUAUUUCUUUAUUACAAAUUUGUGAUUAAAUAACCUUUUUGGUUGUUUUAAGCUUAUAGAACAUUAAGAAUUUUGUAGAACUCCUUAUAACGAUAUAAGGUGAAAAUGGGAUGACGUCAAAUCUUCAUGGCCUUUAUGGAUUGGGCUACUCAUGUAGUACAAAAAUAGUAUCAAUAAGUUGCAAUAAUGAAAAUUGGAGCUAAUCUAGAAAAACUAUAAAAAUUCAAAUUGUUUUCUGAAACUUGAAAACAUGAAGUUGGAAUCAAUAGUAAUCGUUUAUCAGCAAGGAACGGUGAAUUCAAAUUUAAAUCUUGUACAUACCGCCCGUCACAGCCUGGAAAUUAAUUUUAUUUAAAGUUAAAUUAUAUGUUAAACAUUUUAGUUUUUUUUGUUAUUUGUUUUUCACUUAUAACUAAAUUAGAUAAUUGACACGUAGUUUAAUUAGAAUAAAGUUAAUAACUUUGUUGAAGUCGUAACAAGGUAACAGUAGAGGAAUCUGUUGUUGGAAU